rnacentral:misc_RNA from 1 species
GAUGAAGUACGUAGCGAAAUGCGAUACUUGGUGUGAAUUGCAGAAUCCCGUGAACCAUCGAGUCUUUGAACGCAAGCUGCGCCCGAAGCCAUCAGGUUGAGGGCACGUCUGCCUGGGCGUCACUUAUCGUUGCCCAAUGCCUAUUGCAGUGCAAUAGGAAUUUCUAGGGCGAAUGAUGGCUUCCCGUGAGCGUUGUUGCCUCGCGGUUGGUUGAAAAUCGAGUCCUUGGUAGGGUGUGCCAUGGUAGAUGGUGGUCGAGUUAGAACGAUACCGAUCAUGUGCAUGCCCCCCAAAAUAUGGCCUCUAUGACCCACACGCGUCUUUUGACGCUCAUGACGAGACCUCAGGUCAGGCGGGGCUACCCGCUGAAUUUAAGCAUAUCAAUAAGCGGAGGA